rnacentral:rRNA from 1 species
ACUCCUACGGGAGGCAGCAGUGGGAAUAUUGCACAAUGGGCGCAAGCCUGAUGCAGCCAUGCCGCGUGUGUGAAGAAGGCCUUCGGGUUGUAAAGCACUUUCAGUUGUGAGGAAAGGUUAGUCGCUAAUAUCGGCUAGCUGUGACGUUAGCAACAGAAGAAGCACCGGCUAACUCCGUGCCAGCAGCCGCGGUAAUACGGAGGGUGCGAGCGUUAAUCGGAAUUACUGGGCGUAAAGCGUGCGUAGGCGGCUUGGUAAGCCGGUUGUGAAAGCCCCGGCUGCAACCUGGGAACGGCAUCCGGAACUGUCAGGCUAGAGUGCAGGAGAGGAAGGUAGAAUUCCCGGUGUAGCGGUGAAAUGCGUAGAGAUCGGGAGGAAUACCAGUGGCGAAGGCGGCCUUCUGGACUGACACUGACGCUGAGGUACGAAAGCGUGGGUAGCAAACAGGAUUAGAUACCCUGGUAGGCUCUG